GACGAACGCUGGCGGCGUGCCUAAUACAUGCAAGUAGAACGCUGAAGGAGGAGCUUGCUUCUCUGGAUGAGUUGCGAACGGGUGAGUAACGCGUAGGUAACCUGCCUGGUAGCGGGGGAUAACUAUUGGAAACGAUAGCUAAUACCGCAUAAUAGCAGUUGUUGCAUGACAACUGUUUGAAAGGUGCAAUUGCACCACUACCAGAUGGACCUGCGUUGUAUUAGCUAGUUGGUGGGGUAACGGCUCACCAAGGCGACGAUACAUAGCCGACCUGAGAGGGUGAUCGGCCACACUGGGACUGAGACACGGCCCAGACUCCUACGGGAGGCAGCAGUAGGGAAUCUUCGGCAAUGGACGGAAGUCUGACCGAGCAACGCCGCGUGAGUGAAGAAGGUUUUCGGAUCGUAAAGCUCUGUUGUAAGAGAAGAACGAGUGUGAGAGCGGAAAGUUCACACUGUGACGGUAUCUUACCAGAAAGGGACGGCUAACUACGUG
rnacentral:rRNA from 1 species